rnacentral:rRNA from 1 species
UACGAAGGGGGCUAGCGUUGCUCGGAAUCACUGGGCGUAAAGCGCACGUAGGCGGAUUGCUAAGUCAGGGGUGAAAUCCUGGAGCUCAACUCCAGAACUGCCUUUGAUACUGGCGACCUUGAGUCCGGGAGAGGUGAGUGGAACUGCGAGUGUAGAGGUGAAAUUCGUAGAUAUUCGCAAGAACACCAGUGGCGAAAGCGGCUCACUGGCCCGGUACUGACGCUGAGGUGCGAAAGCGUGGGGAGCAAACAGGG